rnacentral:lncRNA from 1 species
ACCAUUUCUAUAUUGGUAUGCCAAUUCAUGUUAUCAAAAACUUGUAGAUGUAAAAAAAUUUGGUACAUAGAUGGAGUGGAUUACACUGCAACAAGUUGACACACAAGUAGUAGUAGCUCGAAGACUCAAAACCCCCACUUAAAAUGACUUGACACCUAAGUAUUCCAACAGCAUUCACUAUCACCCCGUUUUUGCAGUAAUACAUCUGUGGACGUUAAAGUAAGACUUGUCUUCAAAUUAUACAAGUACAGGCCCUACAGUAUUUUGAGUUCACAUUGUAUACUGAUAGACUACCUCCACCGAGAGGAUAUUUGGUCUUGUACUGUGCAAACACUUUGCCCUCUUCUCAUUGCACUUUGUU